rnacentral:misc_RNA from 1 species
AACCAUAGAAACCUGCGGAGUACCUGCGGAAGGAUCAUUACCGAGCGUUGCCCCCCUGAAAAAUGGGGGGUGCCUCCCGUCCUUGCAGGCCCCUAGGGGCUCUCGAACCUUUCUGCUUCGGCGGGUCCACCCCGCCAGAACACCCUCAGAAAACUCUUGUUGAAACGGUUCCGUCCGAGGGCUUUUGAAAAAUCUAGCCAAAACUUUCAACAACGGAUCU